rnacentral:rRNA from 1 species
UGCUCUUUAGGCAAAUCCGGAGAGCUAGCUGAGGCGUGAUGGCGAGGUCCCUUGUGGACCGAAGUCACUGAUACCAUGCUUCCAGGAAAAUCCUCUAAGCUUCAGUCAUGCGGGGACCGUACCGUAAUCGGACACACGUGGGCGGGAUGAAUAUUCUCAGGCGCUUGAGAGAACUCAGGAGAAGGAACUCGGCAAAUUGGUACCGUAACUUCGGGAUAAGGUACGCCUGUAGUAGGUGAAGGCCCUGCGGCCGGAGCCCAACCAGGUUGCAAUGAAAUGGUGGCUGCGACUGUUAACAAAAACACAGCACUCUCAAACACGUCAAGUGGACGUAUAGGGUGUGACGCCUGCCCGGUGCCGGAAGGUUAAGUGAUGGGGUGCAAGCUCUUGAUCGAAGCCCCGGUAAACGGCGGCCGUAACAAUAACGGUCCUAAGGUAGCGAAAUUCCUUGUCGGGUAAGUUCCGACCUGCACGAAUGGCGUAACGAUGGCCACACUGUCUCCUCCUGAGACUCAGCGAAGUUGAAGUGUUUGUGAUGAUGCAAUCUCCCCGCUGCAAGACGGAAAGACCCCGUGCACCUUUACUGCAAGUUUGCAUUGGACUUUGAUGAGAUCUGUGUAGGAUAGGUGGGAGGCUUUGAAGCCGCGGCGCUAGCUGCGGUGGAGCCAACCUUGAAAUACCACCCUGAUCUCAUUGAGGCUCUAACCUAGGCCCGUCAUCCGGGUCGGGGACCGUGCAUGCUGGGCAGUUUGACUGGGGCGGUCUCCUCCCAAAGAGUAACGGAGGAGUGCGACGGUACGCUUAGCGCGGUCGGCUAUCGCGCUGAAAGUGCAAUGGCAUAAGCGUGCUUGACUGCGAGACUGACAAGUCGAGCAGGUGCGAAAGCAGGUCAUAGUGAUCCGGUGGUUCUGUAUGGAAGGGCCAUCGCUCAACGGAUAAAAGGUACGCCCGGGAUAACAGGCUGAUUCCUCCCAAGAGUUCAUAUCGACGGGGGAGUUUGGCACCUCGAUGUCGGCUCAUCACAUCCUGGGGCUGUAGCCGGUCCCAAGGGUAUGGCUGUUCGCCAUUUAAAGUGGUACGUGAGCUGGGUUCAAAACGUCGUGAGACAGUUUGGUCCCUAUCUGCAGUGGGCGUUGGAGAUUUGAGGGGGGCUGCUCCUAGUACGAGAGGACCGGAGUGGACGAACCUCUGGUGUACCGGUUGUCACGCCAGUGGCAUCGCCGGGUAGCUAAGUUCGGAAGAGAUAACCGCUGAAAUCAUCUAAGCGGGAAACUCGCCUCAAGAUAAGAUCUCCCGGGGACUCGAUCCCCCUAAAGGUUCGUCGAAGACUACGACGUUGAUAGGUCGGGUGUGUAAGGUCAGUAAUGGCCUCAGCUAACCGAUACUAAUUGACCGUGCGGCUUGAUCCG